CUCAGAAACUUAAAGGAAUUGACGGGACCCGCACAAGCGGCGGAGCAUGCGGAUUAAUUCGAUGCAACGCGAAGAACCUUACCAAGGCUUGACAUAUAGAGGAAACGUCUGGAAACAGUCGCCCCGCAAGGUCUCUAUACAGGUGGUGCAUGGUUGUCGUCAGCUCGUGUCGUGAGAUGUUGGGUUAAGUCCCGCAACGAGCGCAACCCUCGUCCUAUGUUGCCAGCACGUAAUGGUGGGAACUCAUGGGAUACUGCCGGGGUCAACUCGGAGGAAGGUGGGGAUGACGUCAAAUCAUCAUGCCCCUUAUGUCUUGGGCUUCACGCAUGCUACAAUGGCCGGUACAAAGGGCUGCAAUACCGUAAGGUGGAGCGAAUCCCAAAAAGCCGGUCCCAGUUCGGAUUGAGGUCUGCAACUCGACCUCAUGAAGUCGGAGUCGCUAGUAAUCGCAGAUCAGCAACGCUGCGGUGAAUACGUUCCCGGGUCUU
rnacentral:rRNA from 1 species